UACGUAGGGCGCAAGCGUUGUCCGGAAUUAUUGGGCGUAAAGAGCUCGUAGGCGGUUUGUCGCGUCGGGAGUGAAAACACUGGGCUUAACUCAGUGCUUGCUUCCGAUACGGGCAGACUAGAGGUAUGCAGGGGAGAACGGAAUUCCUGGUGUAGCGGUGGAAUGCGCAGAUAUCAGGAGGAACACCGAUGGCGAAGGCAGAUCUCUGGGCCUUACCUGACGCUGAGGAGCGAAAGCCAGGGGAGCAAACGGG
rnacentral:rRNA from 1 species